rnacentral:rRNA from 1 species
UGCAGUCGAGCGAACGGACGAGAAGCUUGCUUCUCUGAUGUUAGCGGCGGACGGGUGAGUAACACGUGGAUAACCUACCUAUAAGACUGGGAUAACUUCGGGAAACCGGAGCUAAUACCGGAUAAUAUUUUGAACCGCAUGGUUCAAAAGUGAAAGACGGUCUUGCUGUCACUUAUAGAUGGAUCCGCGCUGCAUUAGCUAGUUGGUAAGGUAACGGCUUACCAAGGCAACGAUGCAUAGCCGACCUGAGAGGGUGAUCGGCCACACUGGAACUGAGACACGGUCCAGACUCCUACGGGAGGCAGCAGUAGGGAAUCUUCCGCAAUGGGCGAAAGCCUGACGGAGCAACGCCGCGUGAGUGAUGAAGGUCUUCGGAUCGUAAAACUCUGUUAUUAGGGAAGAACAUAUGUGUAAGUAACUGUGCACAUCUUGACGGUACCUAAUCAGAAAGCCACGGCUAACUACGUGCCAGCAGCCGCGGUAAUACGUAGGUGGCAAGCGUUAUCCGGAAUUAUUGGGCGUAAAGCGCGCGUAGGCGGUUUUUUAAGUCUGAUGUGAAAGCCCACGGCUCAACCGUGGAGGGUCAUUGGAAACUGGAAAACUUGAGUGCAGAAGAGGAAAGUGGAAUUCCAUGUGUAGCGGUGAAAUGCGCAGAGAUAUGGAGGAACACCAGUGGCGAAGGCGACUUUCUGGUCUGUAACUGACGCUGAUGUGCGAAAGCGUGGGGAUCAAACAGGAUUAGAUACCCUGGUAGUCCACGCCGUAAACGAUGAGUGCUAAGUGUUAGGGGGUUUCCGCCCCUUAGUGCUGCAGCUAACGCAUUAAGCACUCCGCCUGGGGAGUACGACCGCAAGGUUGAAACUCAAAGGAAUUGACGGGGACCCGCACAAGCGGUGGAGCAUGUGGUUUAAUUCGAAGCAACGCGAAGAACCUUACCAAAUCUUGACAUCCUUUGACAACUCUAGAGAUAGAGCCUUCCCCUUCGGGGGACAAAGUGACAGGUGGUGCAUGGUUGUCGUCAGCUCGUGUCGUGAGAUGUUGGGUUAAGUCCCGCAACGAGCGCAACCCUUAAGCUUAGUUGCCAUCAUUAAGUUGGGCACUCUAAGUUGACUGCCGGUGAC